rnacentral:rRNA from 1 species
CGGAGGGGAAGUGGUAUUUAACACGCGAGAACCUUUCUAAGCCUUGACAUCCCGUGUAGCUGGAGAGGUACAGAUCCUGUCCUUCAAUUCGGCUGGACCGGUGACAGGUGCUGUAAGGCUGUCAUCAGCUCGUGUCGCGAGAUGUUGGAGCAAGUCCCGCUUCGAGCGCAACCCUCGCCCAUACUUACCAGCAUUCAGUUGGGCACUCUAAGGGGACUGCCUGUGAUAAGCCGAGAUGAAGGUGGGCAUGUCGUCUAGUCUUCAAGGCCUCUUCUGGCCAGGGCCACACGCGGUGCUAUCAUGGUGGUGACAGAGGGAAUCGAGACCACUAGGACGAGCUGAACUCCAAAAACCCUCUCCGUUCUUAUUGCUCUCUGCAGCUCGUGAGCUUGAAUUUGGAAUCGCUAGUGAGCGUGCAUCACCAUGACUCACGCGAAUACGGUACACCGGAUCUUGUAUCCAAAGUUCCGGUAAAUGUUAUCUGAUUUGUCUGCUUUCU